CUGCUCGCUUCGGCAGCACAUAUAUUAAAAUUGGAACGAUACAGAGAAGAUUAGCAUGGCCCCUGCGCAAGGAAGUCAGCACUGUGGUGCAGCAAAUUAAG
ensembl:snRNA U6 U6 spliceosomal RNA